rnacentral:rRNA from 1 species
UACAGAGGGGGCAAGCGUUGUUCGGAAUUACUGGGCGUAAAGGGCGCGUAGGCGGCCUUCUAAGUCAGACGUGAAAUCCCCAGGCUUAACUUGGGAACUGCGUCUGAUACUGGGAGGCUUGAGUGCGGGAGAGGGAUGUGGAAUUCCAGGUGUAGCGGUGAAAUGCGUAGAUAUCUGGAGGAACACCGGUGGCGAAGGCGGCAUCCUGGACCGACACUGACGCUGAGGCGCGAAAGCUAGGGGAGCAAACGGG